UAAAAUCGACAUCUUCAGUAUGUAGCAAACAAAUCAGGUGUUUCAGUUAAGAACGUAGAUUCUGAAGAAAAAUACAGUAACUCAUUAUCUAUGUAUCAAUUGAAGUAAAUGACAUGGAUAGUUGAAGUUUUGAAGAUAAUUAUCUUAGGGUUGCUUGAAACGGUCCAGAAAACACUUCAAUCCAUCAAUGACUCUGUCAACUUCAUCUUGUCAUGAAUCCAUUGAUCUAGAGUGACCGACAGAACCUGCCUCAAGUAGAUGUUUGUUUCAGACAUAACAUUCUUUUAUGCCGUGAUAUAAUGCAUAGUGAUAAUUAUGAAAAAAGAGUCCUCUUGUGAUGUGAAAUGCAUAGCAACCAUCCUUAAGUUUCUUCGUUUAGAAUAAUUUGGAGGAUUAUUAUGUGAACCAAGCAGAUCCUCCAUCAUAAGCCUUUGGAUCAUAACUCGUGCUUUGCAGCCCAAUAAAACAGUUAGCAUGGUAGUUGCCUCCAAAUAAUAAAAAAGAUUGCUAACAUGACUUGGAGGGUUCCACAAAAUCGCAGGUAGGAUAAUUAAUAUCUUACAUUGAGGUUACACGAUAUGAUGUUCAGCUUGUUUCUAGGGCAUUACAGUCAUCUUAAUUAUUUCUUUUGCAGUCUAUAAUCAUCACACCUAUAAAGAAUUUGUAGUGUAUAGUUCUUUCCUUUUGCCAAAUCCAGUAUGUUAGUUAACUUUUUGAUCUACAACAUGGCUCAUGACCAUUUAUUAGUAAUACGUUGCAAUGUAAAUCGCCGACCUGGCUGAUAAGUUUUAUUUCCGUGAGUCCUUAGCUUGGAUUCUAUGGAAAAAAGAAAUUGAUAAAUCUGCAAAUGAGCUGCAACAAUGCAUCAUCAAAUUGGAUGGAUGUUUCGGAUGCACAGAUGUAGAUGCAAUCAUGCAAUUACUCUUAGACCCCGUUUGGGUCCUUUCAUUUUGAAGGAAUUAGAAUCUAUUUAAUAGAGUAGGCUAAUUUAUGUUGGAAUGUGGCAUUCCACAACUUUCCAAAGUUUAGAUAUAAGCCUAUCUUAAAUUCAUGGGGUGGGAGAUGGAAAUUGAUGCUAUAGAUUACGGUUAUUAGAAUGGAAUUCAAUUUUUAUAGCACGCUCUUGGACUCGCUUCUCUAUAGUAGAAAUGCAGCAUAUAAGUAUCUCUCCCAUAUCACCAACUAUAAUAUACAACUAUAUUCCACAUACAAUUAUAUUAGCUUAAUUAAUUUGUAUCUAAAUUAUGAUUAUUAGAAUGGAAUUCAAUUCCAAUGAUCCAAACGGGGCCUUACCUGAAUGAGAAGGGCAGUUACUCCACGCACGUAAUCCUCCGUCUCGAGCUGAUGCAGGACUCCAUGGCCAUUUUCAAUCCUGCACCCCGGCUUCCGGCACUUACGCACGCUCCUGCAGCUCUCACACGAUGACCGGGACCGCAACGGCCAACGGAUCGCCACCUCCAUUCUGCGGCGCACUGGCCCGCGGCCGCGCGAUCGAGCGUGGCGGCGGCAUCAGUCCGCAUCGCUUCAUUCUCCCCGGCGCGCUCGCGCUGUCCCUGCACUGAACCGCGCAUGGUCUUCGCUUGCGCCGCUGCUCGUCCACGCUUGCCGCCGCCGUAGCCGGGGCGGCGUGCCUUGCUUCCUCGGGCUCUUCGCGAGAAGCACGAUUUGGAAGGGUCGUGAAAACGCACGAGCUGGAGCCUGGCUGCGAU
rnacentral:lncRNA from 1 species